CAGCAGCAUGAAAUGCUGCAUUUCAUUCAUAAGGCUUCAGCCUAUCACAACAACUUAGAUCAUUGCUUUUUCACAAGUGCUGGCCCAAAUAGCAUCUAUCAGCUUCAGCACAGCAGAUUGAGACUCUGGGCUUCCUAACAAUGCUGACCCAUUAACGCCUGACCCGUUUACUCUACCCAAUUCCACCCAAGAUUUUCAUUUCAUUUAGCAUCAGCCCCUUCC
rnacentral:lncRNA from 1 species